rnacentral:rRNA from 1 species
CCUACGGGGGGCAGCAGUGGGGAAUAUUGGACAAUGGGGGGAACCCUGAUCCAGCCAUGCCGCGUGUGUGAAGAAGGCCCUCGGGUUGUAAAGCACUUUCAGUGAGGAAGAACGCCUGGUGGUUAAUACCCAUCAGGAAAGACAUCACUCACAGAAGAAGCACCGGCUAACUCCGUGCCAGCAGCCGCGGUAAUACGGAGGGUGCGAGCGUUAAUCGGAAUUACUGGGCGUAAAGCGCGCGUAGGUGGCUUGAUAAGCCGGUUGUGAAAGCCCCGGGCUCAACCUGGGAACGGCAUCCGGAACUGUCAAGUUAGAGUGCAGGAGAGGAAGGUAGAAUUCCCGGUGUAGCGGUGAAAUGCGUAGAGAUCGGGAGGAAUACCAGUGGCGAAGGCGGCCUUCUGGACUGACACUGACACUGAGGUGCGAAAGCGUGGGUAGCAAACAGGAUUAGAUACCCUGGUAGUC